GGGCCGGUGGUCCAGCGGUUACGACGUCGCGCUUACAACGCGAAGAUCGGCGGUUCGACUCCGCCCCGGCCCA
rnacentral:tRNA from 1 species